CCUACGGGGCGCAGCGGUGAGGAAUAUUGGUCAAUGGGCGUAAGCCUGAACCAGCCAAGUCGCGUGAGGGAUGAAGGUUCUAUGGAUCGUAAACCUCUUUUAUAAGGGAAUAAAGUGUGGGACGUGUCCUGUUUUGUAUGUACCUUAUGAAUAAGGAUCGGCUAACUCCGUGCCAGCAGCCGCGGUAAUACGGAGGAUCCGAGCGUUAUCCGGAUUUAUUGGGUUUAAAGGGUGCGUAGGCGGCCUUUUAAGUCAGCGGUGAAAGUCUGUGGCUCAACCAUAGAAUUGCCGUUGAAACUGGGAGGCUUGAGGAUGUUUGAGGCAGGCGGAAUGCGUGGUGUAGCGGUGAAAUGCUUAGAUAUCACGCAGAACCCCGAUUGCGAAGGCAGCCUGCCAAGCCAUGACUGACGCUGAUGCACGAAAGCGUGGGGAUCAAACAGGAUUAGAUACCCCAGUAGUC
rnacentral:rRNA from 1 species